UGUUUCUGUACAUGUUGUGAGGAAUUAAGUGCCAAUGGGGAAUUUAAAUUACCAUCCAUUUUCUUAACUCUUGAGGUCUCCCUCUGAGAUGCAUCUUUUAGACUUCAAAGCUUCCAGUGAUAAGUUGAUAGUCCUGCUGAACAUUUGUGGAGACAGAAGAAUGGAUGUGAGCACAGAGAGGAUGUGGGUGGUGCAUUUCAGCAGCGGUGACAGUGACAGUGAGUCAACUCCACCAGUGCAAAUUUUUACAGGUGCAACAUGCAGGCUCAGG
rnacentral:lncRNA from 1 species